AAACUGUGUUAUGGGCAUGAACUGACAAAAUUCUUGAACCGUUCCCAACAUUGGAAGAAUGUUUCAUCUUCUUUUUGGGAAAAGUUCAUAAUCGACUUUCUAAGGGU